GAUGAACGCUAGCGGCAGGCCUAAUACAUGCAAGUCGAACGGUAGAUCGGGUAGCAAUACUUGAUUGAGAGUGACGUAAGGGUGCGUAACACGUAUGCAAUCUACCCUCAACAGGAGUAUAGCUCGGGGAAACUCGGAUUAACACUCCGUAACAUUACGAUGUGGCAUCACAUUGUGAUUAAAACUCCGGUGGUUGAGGAUGAGCAUGCGUCUGAUUAGUUAGUUGGAGGUGUAACGGACCCCCAAGACGAUGAUCAGUAGGGGAACUGAGAGGUUGAUCCCCCACACUGGCACUGAGAUACGGGCCAGACUCCUACGGGAGGCAGCAGUAGGGAAUAUUGGUCAAUGGGUGAGAGCCUGAACCAGCCAUGCCGCGUGCAGGAAGACGGCCUUCUGGGUUGUAAACUGCUUUUAUCUGGGGAUAAAAAGCCCAUGCGUGGGACAUUGAAGGUACCAGAUGAAUAAGCACCGGCUAACUACGUGCCAG
rnacentral:rRNA from 1 species